rnacentral:misc_RNA from 1 species
AACACUAUACAAUCAAAAUGCAACGAUGAGGUUACAAUGUGACAGAUU